AAGAAAGCAGGGAUCUUCAAUAGGCCCCUUGCCUGCAGAUCUCUACUUUGGAGUACAUCUCCAGCCACCCACAGUAGAGGAUUCAAAUUUUAAAAUUGCUCACAUACUAUGAAUGAAUUCAGACUGUUCUGCCUUCAAAAGACACUGAAGAAGACUUGACGUGGGAUCUGGAGGAGCAGGAUAUCUGUGAUUAGAUUGGUCCCCCAGGGUCUUCCAGCAUUCAGGUAAACCUACAACCAGACUGCAUUGUUGUCCCUUGUCUCCAUAAAGGCUGACUUAGGCAAGUGACAGAAGGGAACCCAUGGGUAUUCAAAGCCCCGGCUGCUGGAGUCAUGCCAAUGAGCUGCCAUUGCCGUUUCAAAAAAGAAAGAAGAUAAAGAGACUGUUUCAGACGUUGUGGUAGCAGAC
ensembl:lncRNA